rnacentral:rRNA from 1 species
UCCUACGGGAGGCAGCAGUGGGGAAUAUUGGGCAAUGGGGGAAACCCUGACCCAGCAACGCCGCGUGAGGGAAGAAGGUUUUCGGAUUGUAAACCUCUGUCCUUGGUGACGAAGGAAGUGACGGUAGCCAAGGAGGAAGCCCCGGCUAACUACGUGCCAGCAGCCGCGGUAAUACGUAGGGGGCGAGCGUUGUCCGGAAUGACUGGG